rnacentral:rRNA from 1 species
CCUACGGGAGGCUGCAGUGGGGAAUAUUGGACAAUGGGCGAAAGCCUGAUCCAGCCAUGCCGCGUGUGUGAAGAAGGCCUUCGGGUUGUAAAGCACUUUCAGUGGGGAAGAAAGCCUUGGGGCUAAUACCCUCGAGGAAGGACAUCACCCACAGAAGAAGCACCGGCUAACUCCGUGCCAGCAGCCGCGGUAAUACGGAGGGUGCGAGCGUUAAUCGGAAUUACUGGGCGUAAAGCGCGCGUAGGCGGUCUGAUAAGCCGGUUGUGAAAGCCCCGGGCUCAACCUGGGAACGGCAUCCGGAACUGUCAGGCUAGAGUGCAGGAGAGGAAGGUAGAAUUCCCGGUGUAGCGGUGAAAUGCGUAGAGAUCGGGAGGAAUACCAGUGGCGAAGGCAGCCUUCUGGACUGACACUGACGCUGAGGUGCGAAAGCGUGGGUAGCAAACAGGAUUAGAUACCCCUGUAGUC